AGCAGAAUGCCUGAUAAAAGGGUUAUUUUGAUAGAAUAAAUUAUGUAAUUUAAAUUACUUCUGC
rnacentral:tRNA from 1 species